UUAUAUCCUAUUGCAUUGCAUUUAAAAGUAUCUGUUAGAUAAAUUUUAUUUUCCGGAAAACAAUUUCAGAAAUUUCCAUUCCGCAAAAUAAAACAAGUCAAUGUAAAUUAUUUGGUUAGUUCAUUUGGGUCAAGUUGUUUUACGUGUGAAAGCUGGAAACAUUAUCUCCCAAAAGCUUCACUCUCUCGCCCCACAAAUACUCUCAGCUCUCUCACCGAUUCCACAGCUAAGUUUCUCUGCUUCUUAAAAUCUGUCCUUUUUCUUUUUUCUUCUUUAAAAAUGAGUUUAUAUAGAUAUGCUUUGCUGAAAGGAAGAUUUGGUUGAUGUGCCUUUUAAUUUUUUGUUUCGAUUAGUUACUGUUGUUUGCUUACAAAGGCUGAAGGGAGGUCAUUUAUUUCUUCAGUGAUACGAGUUUAUCAUGAAACUUUAAUGGAUUAACGGUCGGACUCGCAUAGCAGUACUACAACUUUAUCAUUCAUCAGUUUUGUUAAGUAAUGGUUAUUUCUUUUCGUUUAGGAAAUAUUUAUAAUAUUGUAAGAAUUAAGUAUGACAUGAAUCUCCA